GAAAAUUCAUCUUAACCAUUCCACUUCUUUUUUCGGACCACUCCAUGAUUGGCUAUCCAACGACGACACACCGAGUCACACGUUGUUCCCAGUCUCCACCAUGAAACAUCCUCCAUUCAAACGUCACAUGAAGCAGCAGCAGCACAGUACCGACGUCUUUCUUCCAGUACGAGGGCAAGAUUUCCAUUCCAUCCGUCCAACACAACUAACCAGAUGAUGGACUCGCAUACACAAAGGCCGACAGAAUCGACAUCUCCAUGCUUGGCAUCUCGUACGACCCAGACCAGCAGGGCAGCCAUCUUGGCCAAACUCAUACUCACUUGUAAGCAAAUUUAAGCACAUAAACCUGAGAAAGAAUUAAGAUUUAUCCCGUACCAAGUAAAGAGAACACGUCGACCAGGAGGGAUGAUACAUCUUUGUGGCAUGCCUGAAAUCACAAGAAAACAACACAUUUACUUUCAGAUCAACACAAAUUUGAAUGAGGAAUAGUGAUGUUAAUUCGAGGAACUUCUAAUUUGUCAAGUUUUAUCUCCAAUUGAACCCUCCUGUAAAGCAAGGUCGCUUCCUGUACAUUGAGACUUGUAUUUGUGAACUGACCACAUCAAUGCACUGGUCACUGUAAUGCACUAAAGUACAUUUAGUGUACUAAUAAACA